rnacentral:rRNA from 1 species
AUUGAACGCUGGCGGCAUGCCUUACACAUGCAAGUCGAACGGCAGCACGGGGCAACCUGGUGGCGAGUGGCGAACGGGUGAGUAAUGCAUCGGAACGUACCUUUCAGUGGGGGAUAACGUAGCGAAAGUUACGCUAAUACCGCAUAUUCUGUGAGCAGGAAAGCAGGGGAUCGCAAGACCUUGCGCUGAUUGAGCGGCCGAUGUCAGAUUAGCUAGUUGGUGAGGUAAAGGCUCACCAAGGCGACGAUCUGUAGCGGGUCUGAGAGGAUGAUCCGCCACACUGGAACUGAGACACGGUCCAGACUCCUACGGGAGGCAGCAGUGGGGAAUUUUGGACAAUGAGGGCAACCCUGAUCCAGCCGUGCCGCGUGAGUGAAGAAGGCCUUCGGGUUGUAAAGCUCUUUCGGCCGGGAAGAAAUCGCACGGGCUAAUACCCUGUGUGGAUGACGGUACCGGAAUAAGAAGCACCGGCUAACUACGUGCCAGCCGCCGCGGUAAUAC